rnacentral:ncRNA from 2 species
GACAAGGAGCCGGGAUCAGGUGCCCGCUGCAAGGGCUUAAAAGGGAAGACGGUGCGAAUCCGUCGCGGUCCCGCCGCUGUAAACGGGGACGAACGCCGCAAAGCCACUGUCGCAACACUUGAGCGAUGGGAAGGGCGGCAAGUAGAGUGAUCCGUGAGCCAGAAGACCUGCCUGAGGCCCGAGGAAAAG